rnacentral:misc_RNA from 1 species
GAAAGAUAGUAUUGAUUCACUUAUUAAAAGAAUUUGCAUGUUUCUUAUUCUUUUUGUGUUCUUUGGAAACAUCAAUGACUCAACUUUUUUAUAUGAUUUUUAAGUAAAUUGUCUAAUUGGUAAAUGAUUGUGUUAAGUUCUACUUUUUCAAAAGCGAAGGUAUUCAUUUCUUUUCUUUAUGAUUUCCUUAAUCUUAGCAUGCAUGAUUUCUA